GAGCAGAUGUUGCGUAAACAGUGUGAAGCAUCUGAAGCAGAAGCAGACAACUCGGGAAAACUGAAUUUGAAAUCCAGGUACUUCUCAGCGCAAGCUCUGCGACUCGAUCCAGCUGGCUGGGGUGCUGCAAAUCAAGACGAUCACGUACCCGGACGAAGCAAUCGUGGAACGCCAUCCGAAGGAUUCCAGGUGCAACGGUGUCGUCGGCCUUGGUGGAUUGAGCCAUAGAGUUGUAGACGAUGGCCUCCACUUGGGGACAGCUGUGACGAUAGAACCCUACCUUGAGUCCAGUGUGAGCGGCAGCCGGGGUGAUUGAAUUCAUGGCAAGGGCGAUGGUUACGAAGAUCGCCAGUAACGCCGGUGAGGGCCACCUCCCCAUCGUACUGGAACUGGGCAAGUCGCAAGUUUGAGUACGAAGAUGCAGGGAAAGAAGAUGAGAGUCGCCUUGGCUGAUGAAGCUUUGCGCGUCCGGAUACGAGUGGCACUGCACAAGACCGCAACGACACGAGGAAGACUGGGAGUGUCCUAUAUCCGAGUUGACGUCGAGAACAGUACGGGCCGUCGAACGUGUACGGACCACAGAAACCCCUCGUGGCGUUCCAAGACUUUUCGGAGUGGGCUCAAGUCUGAAGAGGGGACAGUAUUGACCGUGGGACGGAGAGAGCCGGUCGCCAGCACAACAUCAGCGCACAUGCUUACAAAUCUAACCCACGCAAGAUGGAGGCUCUAGCGAAACGAAACAGUUGACAACAGCAGCUGGACUUGGGCAAUAUGGCGGGACCGGUCACCAUGGAUGAGUGAUCGAGCCUGGUAUUGGAGUUGGGUGACCUUGCAACAUCCGCCCCUGGAAGUGAGCAGUGAUUCGGUCUCCGUGCAGCUGGCAACUGUUGACUCACCAACCGGUACCCGUCAUCCUUGGCGGCCGAAUUGUCUGUUCAUAUUAGUGGGUAAUUAUAUGUGUGGGUUGCUUCCUUCCUCGGUGGUGUGCUUCUAAUCCGUUUGGAUCCUUCAAACACGGUGGAGGUUUAUUCUGUAAAGCAGGGGUGGGGAAGCAUGAUGCUUCUGGGAAAAUUUUGUUGGUGUAAUCCGUGCUGCUUCCAGCAUGGAUCCCAUCGUGCUUUGUUGAGCAUGACGUUCACUUUGUUGCACUUUAUCAGCGCAGAGGAUUUCAUCCAGCAGUCGAGUUCAGUUAGCUUUAUUUUCUAAUUCGAUUCUAUCAUGCACGUAAGAACGUAUGGAAAUUCAUGAAAGUCGGGUUCCUUGUCGGCGUGUACGUGAUCUGGUCAAAAUAUGCGCGUGUUGUAGUGAAAUGGAGUUUGAAGUUUUUGAGCUUACAAGGAUAUUUGCAUAUAUUUUAUAAUGCACGUGAGGUAAUCAACCCUGAAAGCUGUACCAGAAAAACAUUACUACUGAACAUUUGUGUGUUUAUAUUGAGGCUUUUGAUUUCAAGAAGGGAUGGAUGUGAUACGCACUUGAGGAUUAUUUCAAAUAUAUAAAUUUUGUUGUAGUAAGCAAUAAAAAGCAACAUUCAUAAAAACUCUUACAUUUCAAACAUGGAGGUAUGUAAAUCGAUGUUUUUGUACAAAUGUGUUGGCUUUGAAAGAAGAAAAAUUUGUGCAAAUGUUUCUAAUUCUAUUUGGUAUUUUCUUUAUCAGUGCAGAGGUUUUCACUUCGCACAGUGGAGUUCAGUGUGUUCCAAUCUUCAAUUCGAUCACAGCAUGCACGUAAGGUUUGUAUGGAAAUUUUGGAAAGUAGUGUUAUUAGGUAGAGAGUAUGUGUCGUGGUCAAAAUAUUCACGUGUUGUAAUCAAGUUGAGUUUGAAAUUUUGAAUCUUAUAAGAAUAUUUACAUCUUUACAUAUGAAUGUUUGAUAGUAAGGGGUUGGUUAUUGUGGAGGUUUCAAUCAUUCUACUUCAAUAGCAAAUUUCAAUCGGUGCCUUUGAUUAUUGGCCACCGGAUGUGUAUCCAUAUUAGUGGGUAUUAUUUUUGAAGGUUGCUUCUAUUCUUUGUAAUAUGUUUCUAGUUCUACGAGAUCAUUGAAAUACGGUUGAGAUGGA